rnacentral:rRNA from 1 species
AGUUGUAUCCUGGCUCAGAGUGAACGCUGGCGGCGUGCUUAACACAUGCAAGUCGAACGAGAACGGGUUAUAGUUUACUAUAACUGUCAGCUAAGUGGCGCACGGGUGAGUAAUAUAUAGGUAACGUGCCCUAGAGAAGAGGAUAACAAUUGGAAACGAUUGCUAAUACUCUAUAUGCCUUUAAGUCAUAAGACUGCAAGGGAAAUAUUUAUAGCUCUAGGAUCGGCCUGUACGGUAUCAGUUUGUUGGUGAGGUAAUGGCUCACCAAGACUAUGACGCCUAACUGGUUUGAGAGGAUGAUCAGUCACACUGGAACUGAGACACGGUCCAGACUCCUACGGGAGGCAGCAGUGGGGAAUAUUGCACAAUGGACGAAAGUCUGAUGCAGCAACGCCGCGUGGAGGAUGACACAUUUCGGUGCGUAAACUCCUUUUAUAUAGGAAGAUAAUGACGGUACUAUAUGAAUAAGCACCGGCUAACUCCGUGCCAGCAGCCGCGGUAAUACGGAGGGUGCAAGCGUUACUCGGAAUCACUGGGCGUAAAGAGCGUGUAGGCGGAUAGUUAAGUUUGAAGUGAAAUCCAAUGGCUCAACCAUUGAACUGCUUUGAAAACUGAUUAUCUAGAAUAUGGGAGAGGUAGAUGGAAUUUCUGGUGUAGGGGUAAAAUCCGUAGAGAUCAGAAGGAAUACCGAUUGCGAAGGCGAUCUACUGGAACAUUAUUGACGCUGAGACGCGAAAGCGUGGGGAGCAAACAGGAUUAGAUACCCUGGUAGUCCACGCCCUAAACGAUGUACACUAGUUGUUGU